rnacentral:rRNA from 1 species
ACGCUGGCGGCGUGCUUAACACAUGCAAGUCGAACGAGAAUCUACGGAUCGAGGAUUCGUCCAAGUGAAGUAGAGGACAGUGGCGGACGGGUGAGUAACGCGUGAGGAACCUGCCUUUCAGAGGGGGACAACAGUUGGAAACGACUGCUAAUACCGCAUGACACAUUGGGGUCGCAUGGCCUUGAUGUCAAAGAUUUAUCGCUGAAAGAUGGCCUCGCGUCUGAUUAGCUAGUUGGUGAGGUAACGGCCCACCAAGGCGACGAUCAGUAGCCGGACUGAGAGGUUGACCGGCCACAUUGGGACUGAGAUACGGCCCAGACUCCUACGGGAGGCAGCAGUGGGGAAUAUUGGGCAAUGGGCGCAAGCCUGACCCAGCAACGCCGCGUGAAGGAAGAAGGCCUUCGGGUUGUAAAGAUCUUUAAUCAGGGACGAAACAAAUGACGGUACCUGAAGAAUAAGCCACGGCUAACUACGUG